rnacentral:rRNA from 1 species
CUACGGGGUGCUCCAGUGGGGAAUAUUGGACAAUGGGGGAAACCCUGAUCCAGCAAUGCCGCGUGUGUGAAGAAGGCCUGCGGGUUGUAAAGCACUUUCGGUUGGGAGGACUGCUUCUAGCACUAAUAUUGUUGGAAGUUGACGUUACCUUCAGAAGAAGCACCGGCUAACUCCGUGCCAGCAGCCGCGGGUAAUACGGAGGGUGCAAGCGUUAAUCGGAAUUACUGGGCGUAAAGCGCGCGUAGGCGGCUAGAUCAGUCGGGUGUGAAAGCCCCGGGCUUAACCCGGGAACUGCAUCCGAUACUGUCUAGCUUGAGUACAGGAGAGGAGAGUGGAAUUCCACAUGUAGCGGUGAAAUGCGUAGAUAUGUGGAGGAACACCAAUGGCGAAGGCAGCCCUCUGGCCUGAUACUGACGCUGAGGUGCGAAAGCGUGGGGAGCAAACAGGAUUAGAUACCCCCGUAGUC